GACAUCAAUGGGUUUGGGAACCUCGCUUGCGCUGGCCUCCUUGUCUGACUGCUGAAAAAACGAGGAGAAAAGCUGACCAGCCGAACCUGACUGUUGCUGCAGCGUCAAUUGUGCAAUGCCCUUUCCUGCCGCCAUAAAAUCUACUUGUGGUCGCUCCAUUGAACCUCGUAUUGGAAUCUGCAGUUUCAUCAAGCACCCAUCAUUCUGCAACUCAAAUUGUGUUGUAUAUGCGGAAUCUAUCACAAUAUAUCCGAAAUUUCAUUAUAUCACCAAACUUAGGCUAAAAGUCGACAAUUGACUUGAUAUCGGGUUCAUGAACGUACCUUGAGAUAGUAAUCGUGGGCAAGGCGAGAUAACCCUAGAGUUUCCCGUAAAGUACUCCCAGGAAUGGCAAGUGUCAUUUGAACUGUCUCAUGGUGAAUGUCCAUGAUGCCCCAAGUUGCAACAUGCACGCGGUCUACAAAAAAAGUCACCAAAAAACACGAACAUCUCUUAAAAUCAAACCAUAAAUCGCGUGUGCAGGAACACAGAGUAAAACAUAACCUUCACGGUACCUGCAAGAAGAAGGUCUAUACGAUCACAUGCUAUGACACCCGUUUUGAGGUUGAUGGAGGCCUCUAUAGGUGAUGUCAGAGCCGUAAUUUGCGAGCGACCCUUAAGAAGAUCUUGGC
rnacentral:lncRNA from 1 species